AUAAAUUUGAUCCAUCCCUGAAUGAACUGGAACUUUUCUUCAACUAAAGAUGUCACAUAUCUGUUUAAUUUCAGAACGGACAAUGUUUCCCAAACUGAGUUUUAGCACACAACAAGAUUACCUAAUCGUGUUAGUUCCUGUGAAGCUAAUGACACUAUUAGUUCACUUGAUUCACACAAAGUACAUGAGGCAUGUCUACAUUUCAUUUACAACAUACAGCUAUGGAAUGUGCCAGUCCCUUUGACAACUCACUUCACUAGCCUCCAUUUGCACCAUGUAGCACUGUGCACUUCCUAUAUUGAAACCCUCAACAAAACAAUUACCUAUUGUCAGAACUCUGUCCUUGUUUCACCAGGAAGAAUAUCUUGAUUGAUUGCACUUUUUCUUGGACCUUCAACAGCAUAACCAUUGAGAGAUAUUUCCAUCGGCAAAGUCGAGGAAAAAAAAAAGCUCUCCUCUGCACUGGCCAACUACAACUUUCCUAUUUACCUCCUCACAAAUGGUCGUGGGACCGAUCGUGUGGGGCCGCUGGGGUGGCGGAUUCCACCUUUCGCUACCAUUGAGAGAUAUUUCCAAGAUAUCAUUUUGAUGAAUCCUAUGUAAUCUUUAUCGCAUUAGAUGGUCUUCUGAGAUAUAAAUUUCCAAACUUUUCAGAAAAUAAAUUCAGCAGGAUAGUAGACCUUCCAAAUGAAGUGUCUUUGGACUGGGGGCUGGUAUUAAAUGGCACUGUGGUUCUGAAAGACUUGAGGAUACAGAUCAGGUACAAUAGCAUCCAAUUUCAACUACAUUCUAGAGAGAUGAUUGUUUGGGGAUGGAAUCCAGAUGGCAUAGUCAUGAUUAGGUCAGCCUACAAUGCACUUAUGGGAGCUGUGGCUAUUUGAGGAUGGAGUUCAGACGGCAUAUUCAUGGACUGGGUAACACGAGACUCAAAAAAGAAAGGGCAUAGAAAUGAGUGAUACAAACUGCACAUACUGCUACUGCAAUGAGGAGACUAUAGUUCACAUAUUUCAGAAAUGUAUCUAUACCAAGGAUAGAUGGUAUUGCAUUGCCUUUAAUACUGGAAUCAUUCUAGAGGAAUGCAUUCUAUCCUUCUCAAGCAACAGGAAAACAGUCAAAACACACCAGAGCCUCACUCCAUACUAGCUGUUAGGCAUGGGCUUGGUACAACAUGAUUUUCGGGCAAGCUUCCUGGCAAAGCCCUUCACUUUAUGUGGCUUCAGAGGUGCAAACUAUGGCUAGCAAGGAUCAGGGGAACAGGCAGCUAAAGGUUCAAUGGUACUGAAUCAAAUUGGAGCCCGAGUAAGAAACUGCACAUAUGAGGAACAAUUGCAUCCACGUACUUUUCAGCUCCCUAAUACUCUGCAACAGGAUUGCUCUGAGGGCCCAUCUGCUAAACAUUCUCGUCAUUCAGCAUUAAUUUUCCAUGGCAGUUUUAAUUCAUAUGGCAUGCCACUAUGAUCAGUUUUGAAUUUUCUAUGUGGAAAAAGAAACUCGGCUGCUGCGGUUGUGCCACAGGCAGUCACUUUGAAGAAUCAUGCAUGCAAGGCUAAGGGAGGAGGAGCACUUAUAAUCAUCAAUCAGCCGACUAGGAUUGCAAGAGAACCAGCCGAUUUCAACAACCAAGUCACAUUCCCAUUUUUUCCCUUUUCCAGCCCAAUUAUGUAGACUUGCACAAGAAGACACAAGAAGUUGUUCAUUAGCCAGCUGCGCUUCUUCCUCACUCACCAGACAAACGCCACACUGAAUUUGGAUGGUCGCUGUGGAUUCCUGACCUUGCACAAGUCUUCUUGUUUUUCUUUGCCACAAGUCUUAUAAACAGCUGCCAGCUAUUUGGACAGCAAAUGUAUAUCGAUGAUCCUCCAGCAGCCAACAUGCGUCCCUUUGCCGUCACACAGUAGGUGGAGCAGGGACGUCCAACUUGGCAUGCAACCAUUUGAUUUCUAUUGGCUGUGACUCGAGGAGAGAAAAAUUUGUCUUGGCUCUACAAUCAAAUCGCUCCACAAACAAAAGUUAUCUUGGGGAAAUCAUCGAUAUCAUUAUGAGAAUGGUUUGACAUUCUAAGAAGCGUUUCAUUACGAUGGAAUAGUCUUGCACAUCUUGCGACUCAUGGGAGCCCUCAUGAUAUUCUUAUUUAGAGUUGUUAGAAGUUGAUUUUUUUUUGAAGUCUUUCGAGUGUUAAUUUCUUCUUUAGGGUGAAGAAAAUAUUUAAAUUUGUAAUUUUUUUUAUGUAAUACCCAUCUGGACUGUUAGUGAUAACUGACAAAUUCAAGUUAUAA